rnacentral:rRNA from 1 species
ACGUCACAGAUGCAGCGUAUUAAACUACACCCUUUCCUCCCUACUGAAAGUGCUUUACAACCCUAGAGCCUUCUUCACACACGCGGCAUGGCUGCAUCAGGCUUUCGCCCAUUGUGCAAUAUUCCCC